rnacentral:rRNA from 1 species
GCAGGCUUAACACAUGCAAGUCGAACGCCCGAGCAAUCGGGAGUGGCAGACGGGUGAGUAACACGUGGGAACAUACCCUCAGGUUCGGAACAACGCCGGGAAACUGGCGCUAAUACCGGAUACGCCCUUUUGGGGAAAGGCUUGCUGCCUGAGGAUUGGCCCGCGUUCGAUUAGCUUGAUGGCGGGGUAACGGCCCACCAUGGCGACGAUCGAUAGCUGGUCUGAGAGGAUGGCCAGCCACAUUGGGACUGAGACACGGCCCAAACUCCUACGGGAGGCAGCAGUGGGGAAUAUUGGACAAUGGGCGCAAGCCUGAUCCAGCCAUGCCGCGUGAGUGAUGACGGCCUUAGGGUUGUAAAGCUCUUUCGCACGCGACGAUAAUGACGGUAGCGUGAGAAGAAGCCCCGGCUAACUUCGUGCCAGCAGCCGCGGUAAUACGAAGGGGGCUAGCGUUGUUCGGAAUCACUGGGCGUAAAGGGUGCGCAGGCGGGUUCAUAAGUCAGGGGUGAAAUCCCGAGGCUCAACCUCGGAACGGCCUUUGAUACUGUGGAUCUUGAGUCCGGAAGAGGUGAGUGGAACUGC